rnacentral:lncRNA from 1 species
CCAGGGCUCAGAGGGGAGCCUCAGAUUACUCCGUGAACUCUCAUCUUACGCUUUUUCAAGCAAAGCGUCUAAGCUGAAAUCCACAACUCAUGGUUCCCAAUUUUCAAAAGUCUGAAGCAAUAAUUCACUGAAUUCAGUAUUUCAGGAUAUUUGGCCUUGACAUUAAAGGCAGAGACUGUGGCAAUGAGGCAGCUAAGUGGUUCACCAACUUCUUGAAAACUGAAGCGUAUAGAUUGGUUCAAUUUGAGACAA